rnacentral:rRNA from 1 species
GGACUACCAGGGUAUCUAAUCCCGUUCGCUCCCCUGGCUUUCGUGUCUCAGCGUCAGCGAGUCCCCAGCGAGCUGUUUUCACCGUCGGCGUUCCAAGCGAUAUCUACGCAUUUCACCGCUCCACCGCUUGUUCCGCUCGCCCCUGGACUGCUCAAGAUCGCCAGUAUGCCCAGCGGUUCCACCGUUGAGCGGUGGGAUUUCACAAGACACUUAACGACCCGCCUACACACGCUUUAAGCCCAGUGAUUCCGCCUAACGCUCGGCACCUCUGUCUUACCGCGGCGGCUGGCAC